rnacentral:tmRNA from 1 species
GGGGCUGACCGGUUUUGACAGCAAGGAAGUGGUAUCGUAAGCAGGCCGGGCGUUGUAAGCUAAGCCCGUAAAACUCAACUUGCAAAGCCAACAAAUGGCAACGAUUACAACUACGCGUUAGCCGCUUAAUCAAGGAUUAAGCCGCUUUCUGCCCACCGGGAAGCUUUGCGUGGCCGCGUUCCGGCAAGGGCAUCACAAAUGCCGCGAUAAGACGGGUAACAUCCUGAUGCCCGUACGAAAACCAAAAGGAAUAAGGAUCAGGUUGGGCGGUUUUCUCCCUGCCGGUUCCCGACAAUCAACAGAAAACUAAGCUUGUAGAAAGCGCUAUUGCUGCUUGUUUGGACGCGGGUUCGACUCCCGCCAGCUCCACAA